rnacentral:rRNA from 1 species
UACGUAGGGUGCAAGCGUUGUCCGGAAUUAUUGGGCGUAAGGAGCUCGUAGGCGGUCUGUCGCGUCGGCUGUGAAAUCCCGAGGCUCAACCUCGGGUCUGCAGUCGAUACGGGCAAACUAGAGUAUUGCAGGGGAGACUGGAAUUCCUGGUGUAGCGGUGAAAUGCGCAGAUAUCAGGAGGAACACCGGUGGCGAAGGCGGGUCUCUGGGCCGUAACUGACGCUGAGGAGCGAAAGCGUGGGGAGCAAACAGG